rnacentral:rRNA from 1 species
GUAGGGUGCGAGCGUUGUCCGGAAUUAUUGGGCGUAAAGGGCUCGUAGGCGGUUUGUCGCGUCGGGAGUGAAAACGCCGUGCUUAACACGGCGCUUGCUUUCGAUACGGGCAGACUAGAGGUAUGCAGGGGAGAACGGAAUUCCUGGUGUAGCGGUGAAAUGCGCAGAUAUCAGGAGGAACACCGGUGGCGAAGGCGGUUCUCUGGGCAUUACCUGACGCUGAGGAGCGAAAGUGUGGGGAGCGAACAGGAUUAGAUACCCUGGUAGUCCACACCGUAAACGUUGGGCGCUAGGUGUGGGAUCCAUUCCACGGGUUCCGUGCCGCAGCUAACGCAUUAAGCGCCCCGCCUGGGGAGUACGGCCGCAAGGCUA